rnacentral:rRNA from 1 species
AUACGGAGGGUGCGAGCGGUUAAUCGGAAUCACUGGGCGUAAAGCGCACGUAGGCUGCUUGGUAAGUCAGGGGUGAAAGCCCGCGGCUCAACCGCGGAAUUGCCUUUGAUACUGCCGAGCUAGAGUCCGGGAGAGGGUAGUGGAAUUCCAGGUGUAGGAGUGAAAUCCGUAGAGAUCUGGAGGAACAUCAGUGGCGAAGGCGACUACCUGGACCGGUACUGACGCUGAGGUGCGAAAGCGUGGGGAGC